AUAAUGGGUCAGCGACUUAUAUUCUGUAGCAAGGUUAACCGAAUAGGGGAGCCGAAGGGAAACCGAGUCUUAACUGGGCGUUAAGUUGCAGGGUAUAGACCCGAAACCCGGUGAUCUAGCCAUGGGCAGGUUGAAGGUUGGGUAACACUAACUGGAGGACCGAACCGACUAAUGUUGAAAAAUUAGCGGAUGACUUGUGGCUGGGGGUGAAAGGCCAAUCAAACCGGGAGAUAGCUGGUUCUCCCCGAAAGCUAUUUAGGUAGCGCCUCGUGAAUUCAUCUCCGGGGGUAGAGCACUGUUUCGGCAAGGGGGUCAUCCCGACUUACCAACCCGAUGCAAACUGCGAAUACCGGAGAAUGUUAUCACGGGAGACACACGGCGGGUGCUAACGUCCGUCGUGAA
rnacentral:rRNA from 1 species